UGAGGAGUUGGAUUAUAUUUUGUACUGAACACACGUUAUAAACAAAGCCUUAUAAAACACCUCCGGUAGUAAUGUGGCUUUACUAAUACUGCCUUAUAACACUUCUUGUCAUGUCAUAGCUAGAAACGUACAGGAAACUUAGGAAGAGCCUUUUUUUAAAUACUUUAAAAAAAUAUUGUAUCAGUGAGGAGGCAGAAUAACAAUAUAUAGAAACAGACAGAACAAGGCAAAAAAGAGGAGAAACAAUGACUGAGAUAGUUGAGAGAAAAAAAAAAUCUUUAAUGACAAAAGGAGAUUUUGUGAUUGAAAGAACACACACUUGUUCCAACUUUCACAUAGAAAAGAUGCAUUCACACUGCACCUUAACUCGGGGCUAAGAGCCUCGUCAGGCCUGGGCUAUGGGAGAUUUUAGCCCAGGGCUAAGCAAAUAUUCACACCAACCUUAGCCCAGGGCUAAGAGCCUCGUCAGGCCUGGGCUAUGGGAGAUUUUAGCCCAGGCCUAAGCGAAUAUUCACACCAACCUUAGCCCAGGGCUAAGAGCCUCGUCAGGCCUGGGCUAUGGGAGAUUUUAGCCCAGGCCUAAGCAAAUAUUCACACCAACCUUAGCCCAGGGCUAAGAGCCUCGUCAGGCCUGGGCUAUGGGAGAUUUUAGCCCAGGCCUAAGCGAAUAUUCACACCAACCUUAGCCCAGGGCUAAGAGCCUCGUCAGGCCUGGGCUAUGGGAGAUUUUUAGCCCAGGCCUAAGCAAAUAUUCACACCAACCUUAGCCCAGGGCUAAGAGCCUCGUCAGGCCUGGGCUAUGGGAGAUUUUAGAACAACGCAUAGAAUCUUUACUGUCCAAUCACAAAAGCUGCACAUUCACUUAACUUACAUACGCUUGUGAUGCGUUCUGCCGUUUUAAUAAAUACAUUUAUACUAUUUCAUCUAUCAGAGGACGAAAACUAAAAAUAAAUAAAAACAAUACGUUCAUCUAUGCAAAAACAUUUGGUUUCUAUGGCUAAUAAAAAUAAUAAUACAAAUAAAUCAUAAAAUUGGUUGCUCUGCCGGCUGGCUAACUUCUUCUCACUGAGCUAGCCAACCGAAGCCACAAACUCUACAGCUGGAAGGGCAUCAAGCUCUUUCCUCUGUUUUCACAUUAGACAUGUACUUGGAUUAUGGCUAUCCCAUGACAAUAAAAUAUUGUUGCAUGAUUUCGCCUGGAUCAGAAACGUUGAUGUCUCGUCUCUUGCACAGAAUUCUCUGUACAGGGCGCGAGAUCGCAUUUCAAAAGAGAAACAGUUUAUUCCCCCCCAGGCAGGCGGACAGCGAGGUUUAAACAAGUCAUCACUAAAAGCUUGUGUGAACCGUGAAGACAGGAUAAACUGGUCCAGGGUCAGUCUUAGCCUGGGGCUAAGAUCACUGCAGUGUGAAAAAGCUUAUAGCAUUGGAUUCAUUAACAACAAUAGCAUCUGUAAAGAAAAACAUAUAACCAGCAGAAAUGGCAUAUAUAUAUAUAUAUAUAUAUAUAAAUAAACAUCCACAACACUCACCCCUUUGAAGAACAGAGUUAGAAGGUGAAAAUGGGCAUCCCUGACGCCUAAAUUACCAACUAAAGGAAACCGUCCAUAUUUAACCAGUCAAACUGUGCGUCCCAAAUGGGACCCUAUUGGCAUUAUAGGGGAAUAGAGAAUGUGGGAAAAUAAGGAACAGGGUGCCACUAUAUAGGGCAUAGGGUGCCACUAUAUAGGGUACCAUCAUAUAGGGAAUAGGGUGCCACUAUAUAGGGAAUAGGGUGCCACUAUAUAGGGUACCAUCAUAUAGGGAAUAGGGUGCCACUAUAUAGGGAAUAGGGUGCCACUAUAUAGGGAAUAGGGUGCCACUAUAUAGGGUACCAUCAUAUAGGGGAAUAGGGUGCCACUAUAUAGGGAAUAGGGUGCCACUAUAUAGGGAAUAGGGUGCCAUCAUAUAGGGAAUAGGGUGCCACUAUAUAGGGUACCAUCAUAUAGGGAAUAGGGUGCCACUAUAUAGGGAAUAGGGUGCCACUAUAUAGGGUACCAUCAUAUAGGGAAUAGGGUACCAUCAUAUAGGGAAUAGGGUGCCACUAUAUAGGGAAUAGGGUGCCACUAUAUAGGGAAUAGGGUACCAUCAUAUAGGGAAUAGGGUGCCAUCAUAUAGGGAAUAGGGUGCCAUCAUAUAGGGAAUAGGUGCCACUAUAUAGGGCAUAGGGUGCCACUAUAUAGGGCAUAGGGUACCAUCAUAUAGGGAAUAGGGUGCCACUAUAUAGGGAAUAGGGUGCCAUCAUAUAGGGAAUAGGGUACCAUCAUAUAGGGAAUAGGGUGCCACUAUAUAGGGCAUAGGGUGCCACUAUAUAGGGUACCAUCAUAUAGGGAAUAGGGUGCCACUAUAUAGGGAAUAGGGUGCCACUAUAUAGGGUACCAUCAUAUAGGGAAUAGGGUGCCACUAUAUAGGGAAUAGGGUGCCACUAUAUAGGGCAUAGGGUGCAACUAUAUAGGGCAUAGGGUGCCAUCAUAUAGGGAAUAGGGUGCCACUAUAUAGGGAAUAGGGUGCCACUACAUAGGGUACCAUCAUAUAGGGAAUAGGGUGCCACUAUAUAGGGAAUAGGGUGCCAUCAUAUAGGGAAUAGGGUGCCAUCAUAUAGGGAAUAGGGUGCCACUAUAUAGGGCAUAGGGUGCAACUAUAUAGGGCAUAGCGUGCCAUCAUAUAGGGCGCCAUCAUAUAGGGAAUAGGGUGCCAUCAUAUAGGGAAUAGGGUGCCAUCAUAUAGGGAAUAGGGUGCCAUCAUAUAGGGAAUAGGGUGCCUUCAUAUAGGGAAUAGGGUGCCAUCAUAUAGGGCACCACUAUAUAGGGAAUAGGGUGCCAUCAUAUAGGGAAUAGGGUGCCAUCAUAUAGGGAAUAGGGUGCCAUCAUAUAGGGAAUAGGGUGCCAUCAUAUAGGGCAUAGGGUGCCAUCAUAUAGGGCAUAGGGUACCACUAUAUAGGGCAUAGGGUACCACUAUAUAGAGCAUAGGGUGCUAUCAUAUAGGGCAUAGCAUGCCAUCAUAUAGGGCAUAGCGUGCCAUCAUAUAGGGCAUAGGGUGCCAUCAUAUAGGGCAUAGGGUGCCAUCAUAUAGGGCAUAGGGUGCCAUCAUAUAGGGCAUAGGGUGCCAUCAUAUAGGGCAUAGGGUGCCAUCAUAUAGGGCAUAGGGUACCACCAUAUAGGGCAUAGGGUGCCAUCAUAUAGGGCAUAGGGUGCCAUCAUAUAGGGCAUAGGGUGCCAUCAUAUAGGGCAUAGGGUGCCAUCAUAUAGGGCAUAGGGUGCCACUAUAUAGGGAAUAGGGUGCCACUAUAUAGGGAACAGGGUGCCAUCAUAUAAGGAAUAGGGUGCCAUCAUAUAGGGAACAGGGUGCCAUCAUAUAGGGAACAGGGUGCCAUCAUAUAGGGAAUAGGGUGCCAUCAUAUAGGGAAUAGGGUGCCAUCAUAUAGGGAAUAGGGUGCCAUCAUAUAGGGAAUAGGGUGCCAUCAUAUAGGGAAUAGGGUGCCAUCAUAUAGGGCAUAGGGUGCCACUAUAUAGGGCAUAGGGUACCACUAUAUAGGAACAGGGUGCCAUCAUAUAGGGAAUAGGGUGCCAUCAUAUAGGGAAUAGGGUGCCAUCAUAUAGGAAUAGGGUGCCAUCAUAUAGGGAAUAGGGUGCCAUCAUAUAGGGAAUAGGGUGCCAUCAUAUAGGGAAUAGGGUGCCAUCAUAUAGGGAAUAGGGUGCCAUCAUAUAGGGAAUAGGGUGCCAUUUGAGAUACAACCAAAGGAUUCCAGAGGAACGGAGGUCUAUUCAUUCACACUUUACAUACAAGUGCCAGAAACACAUGGAGUCACCAUGACUCCCAGUCAGUGGUUCCCAGUCAGUGGUUCCCAGUCAGUGGUUCCCAGUCAGAGUACAUAGAAGAAUGUAGAAUCAGUGGGCAGAAAACAACUUGUACUCGGUGUGUUCCUCCACACCUCAAUGUAUGUUUGAUGAUUUUUUAAAGGGUUUUAAAUCAUUUUAAAAUCAUUUUCCUCUCUUACUCUAAAGUGCAUCAAACACCGCUUAUAUUAAAUAAACCUCUUCAAUCUAAAACUUGUGUGAUUAUGACUAUAAAUGUAGGACCUUUGAAACCUGAAUUCUCAGCUUUUGGCUAAAUACUUCUACAAACAGCGAAACCCUUUGCAAUAGCUUUACAUACAUAGAAGGUGACCUUUAUAACAUCAGCUCUCCCACAGAGAGAAGAAGGAUUCAAGCGCUUUAGAUUGACCAAUGACCAAUUGACCAAUGACCAAUGACCAAUGACCAAUGACCAUUGACCAAUGACCAAUGACCAAUGACCAAUGACCAAUGACCAAUGACCAAUGACCAUUGACCAAUGACCAAUGACCAAUGACCAAUGACCAAUGACCAAUGACCAAUGACAAAUGACCAAUGACCAAUGACCAAUGACAAAUGACCAUUGAC
ensembl:lncRNA